GAUGAACGCUGGCGGCGUGCCUAAUACAUGCAAGUCGAGCGAACGGACGAGAAGCUUGCUUCUCUGAUGUUAGCGGCGGACGGGUGAGUAACACGUGGAUAACCUACCUAUAAGACUGGGAUAACUUCGGGAAACCGUAGCUAAUACCGGAUAAUAUUUUGAACCGCAUGGUUCAAAAGUGAAAGACGGUCUUUCUGUCACUUAUAGAUGGAUCCGCGCUGCAUUAGCUAGUUGGUAAGGUAACGGCUUACCAAGGCAACGAUGCAUAGCCGACCUGAGAGGGUGAUCGGCCACACUGGAACUGAGACACGGUCCAGACUCCUACGGGAGGCAGCAGUAGGGAAUCUUCCGCAAUGGACGAAAGCCUGACGGAGCAACGCCGCGUGAGUGAUGAAGGUCUUCGGAUCGUAAAACUCUGUUAUUAGGGAAGAACAUAUGUGUAAGUAACUGUGCACAUCUUGACGGUACCUAAUCAGAAAGCCACGGCUAACUACGUG
rnacentral:rRNA from 1 species